rnacentral:lncRNA from 1 species
AUUUUAGACUGCAUUAUCCUCAAAGGAAAGUCAAUAGAUGUAAGGAAAAUGUCAGAAGAAAGAUGGAUUUCUACAUUUUUACACCUAUAUAAAUGAAGUUUUCUUGCAGAACAUGCCUCCUCUGGUUUUAUAGGUACUGAAGACUCACUAGCAAAGCUAAUUCAUGGUAAAAAAAAAAAAAAAAGACGCACAGUGCUCUGCUAAAAGCCAAGCACUGGAGAGCUCCUGGAACCACUCCAUAUUGACAUCUUCGGCUCUCCAUUGCUGUGAAGCACCGUAUUCAACACCUUUUGGAUUAUAUUUUGGAUGGAAUUAAAUCAACAAGCUGCAGAUCUUGGGGUACAAAUCAGAAAUGUCUCCUCCUCUAGGGGCAACUGUGCCGGCCUGCUUCCUCACGGGGUGCUGUCCUUCUGAGCUGAGCUUAGACCAAAAGACAGGACUCUACCCAAGGGUGUACACAAACAGGAGAAAGAAUUGGGAGUGGAGAUUUCAAAUGCAUUCGGGAGGAGUGAUUGGAGAGCUGUGGCUGGGAGAGGCCCAAGCGGGAGCCGGAGCUCGCGUGGUGGAAAACGGCCGCGGGGACCAGGGUGGAGCAGGGACGCUAGUCACACCACCCCGAGACCUGAAAUCGUAGACCUGUUUGGAAUAUGAAUCCCCACAGCUGCGAGAAGGAGGCGGGCUGAUUGAAAUUGUUUGGAAUACUUUCCUGGACAAGUUCUAUUAAAAAUGAGAUAGUGUACCGUAAAUAUCGGAUGCUGUGUUCAAGCAUUUUCUCAGUCCUCCAGCUCCUGAUUCAUUCCCAAAAGCACAAUCUCCUGGAUAUUAUACUGGGACUGUAAGAAGCAGCCCGCCCAAGUUUCCAUCACUCAGAACUGCUACCUUUUUAAACGCAAGCAUGUAAAUGAAAUAUUGACCCCAGGCAAGUCCGCCAUGGGCAGGGACCAAGCACACGCUGAUGUGAUGCAAGGGGAGUUCACGAUAAUGACGUGCAUCCAUCCGCCCCACCACCCCCAGUCCAGCAGUCACACGGAUGAGAGCUUUACCACAGAGAAGCCAAGUCAGUCCAACAGUAACCACAUGAAAAGGAAAAGAAGUCCAACACGAAACCAGUGUUUCCUCAACAGCUGUUUGUUGACAUUUAAUUUUGACCCUGAAAGUCCACUUUUCAGAGAUUAGCUAAUAAUUGCAGCAGGGCAUAGGCUCAGCAGAAACACAUAAAUAACACCCCCCCCCCUGCAGCCCUGCAGCUGGUGGUCACGGUGAUUAUCACUGAGUUAUUUCACGGCACUUCCAAGAGCGCCUAGACUUUUGGAGGCUCGAGGGGAUUGUCAGGAGGUAUCCUUCCCCAAAUGACACAGCGCGGGGCCCUCCUUGUCCAGCCCAUCCACUGCCUUGGCACCGCCCAGGGAAAUCUAGCUGCUCUCAGAAUUCCCCAUUCAUUUCCAGGAUAGCCCCACUUGACGCUGGUGGCAUUAGCAUUACAUCACAGCCUGAAGUCUAAUCACACCCCAAGAGAGAGGGAGGAGAGGGAGCAAGACCCGCCUGGCCGCCUGGCUGGGACGGAACAGCUUCCUGGGUCAGAGGUGACAGCACUGUGAUGCUCAGUGGGGGUGGAGUGGGGUUACUCAGGAAAG